UACGUAGGGUGCAAGCGUUAUCCGGAAUUAUUGGGCGUAAAGAGCUCGUAGGCGGUUUGUCGCGUCUGCUGUGAAAACUGGAGGCUCAACCUCCAGCCUGCAGUGGGUACGGGCAGACUAGAGUGCGGUAGGGGAGAUUGGAAUUCCUGGUGUAGCGGUGGAAUGCGCAGAUAUCAGGAGGAACACCGAUGGCGAAGGGCAGAUCUCUGGGCCGUAACUGACGCUGAGGAGCGAAAGCAUGGGAGCGAACAGG
rnacentral:rRNA from 1 species